UACCUGGUUGAUCCUGCCAGUAGUCAUAUGCUUGUCUCAAAGAUUAAGCCAUGCAAGUCUAAGUACGAGCUCUCGUACAGUGAAACUGCGAAUGGCUCAUUAAAUCAGUUAUGGUUCAUUUGAUCGUACAGUUUACUUGGAUAACUGUGGUAAUUCU
rnacentral:ncRNA from 1 species